GUCACUGUCUAUGACUUUCCCCAUAUGAUAAAUUCGAGGAGGGCAGCAACUAUCUCUGUUUGACCCCCCAGGCCUCACAAGGGUCCUAUUACCUGGUGGGUACUCCAUAAACUUUUAUUGAAUGAGUGAAUGAAAGCUCAGGAACCUUGUCUUAUUCGUUUUUAGAUCCGAGAACUAGCGCAGUGCCUGACACAGAUUAAGUCCUGAGAAAAAAUGCUUGCUGACCUAAACUGAACUGGAGUCAUAGUCCGCAAUUCUGAAAACAGUCCCAUGAGAGCCAAACACAUCAAGAAAAAGAGUGAGAUGGUUUACUUUUUCAGGCACGAGUCUUGUUUUCGUGGUUGCUUUGUAAGCUAAGUCACUUGCUGCAGUAAGUCCCGAGUGAAAGCCGGAUCAUCUGAGUCCCAAAACAGUGGCCUAUUCAUUAGGUUCCCUGUGUCUCAGGGGCACCAGUGUUUUCUGACAGUAACGUUGGACAGCAGAGCUGGGCCACGGAAACCUUCCAAGAGCCUGAACUGGAAUUAAACUUGGCGAGGAUUACUAAAUGCCACUGGUGUUAGACAACUGAAGGUUUCUGCAGCAAGAACAUAAUUCAAGAAAAAUAAAACCGAAUUGUUGGAAAGCACCUACAGUGAGAGCCAUGCAGGAUUCAAAAAUCCAAGAAAAGCUUCCCGGAUCUGUGCUGCCCCAGCUGGAGUUGAUCGAAUUGUUUCUAUUCUUUCCUAUAGUUAUCCCUGUCGGAGGUCUCACAGCUGACUCCAUUGACUCAAAACAACACCGCUGAAGCCAAGAUUCCUGCCUGCAAAACAUUUCCUCAACAGCCCGACGUGAAACAAAGACAAUCACCACACUGAGGCAUUUGACCCAGGCUGCACGAGUCCCUGGAAGUUAAUUGUUUGGUGAUUUCCUGUACUUGAGGCGCAAAUGCUUCCUUUUCUAACAAUGGACUCACUAAGCUCGGUCAAUGCAAUGACACUGGGACUUCAAGGGCAGCUGUAUUCAAAUAACACUCGGUGGUAAUUUAGGCUGUGAGGUUUGCAGGAUUGAAAGGCGGUUCACAAAGGAACCGCAGGCUCUCC
rnacentral:lncRNA from 1 species